CACGUAGGGGGCAAGCGUUGUCCGGACUUACUGGGCGUAAAGCGCGUGCAGGCGGAUUGGUAUGUGCCGUGUGAAAGCUCUCAGCUUGCCUGGGAGAGGUCGCGGUAGACAGCCGAUCUGGAGGCUCGGAGAGGUCAGUGGAAUUCCCGGUGUAGUGGUGAAAUGCGUAGAUAUCGGGAGGAACACCUAUGGCGAAGGCAGCUCGCUGGGACGUUACUGACGCUGAGACGCGAAAGCGUGGGGAGCAAACAGG
rnacentral:rRNA from 1 species